CUUAGAGUGGAUCAAAACGCUUGAAGAAGUAGUAGCAUUCAUGAAAUUACUCCCACUUACAUCUCUCUCCUUUAGCUCUCGUAACCCAUUAACAGAGUUUGAGCUUAGGGACAGGAAAACAUAAGCAAGACCGAACAAGAAAAGCACUAACCUUGAUGAUGAUCUCUCUCUUACUAUACUCUCCAUCUGAAUAUAUCAGUAUAGCUCAAAACGAACUAUAUAUAUAUUCACUUCUCAAUGUUAUGGUUCGACACCCUCUCCCUCCCCUCCUCUUUAUACCAUUUAUCUAUGUACUCAAGCUGACUGUUAAUCCUACGUAAUUAGUUUAAUUAAUCUCAUGCACAUGCAUUUUAUCCAUACAGUACUUACCAACUUUUUAUUUCCCUUUAUAACUUAAAAGUAGAGGCUAUAAAUAUAAAUAUAUAAGUAUAGGCUCUUGAAUUAUUAAAC
rnacentral:lncRNA from 1 species